GGAAUCAAAGCCAGCAGACAGCAGAGGAGCCUGCAAGCCCUUGUUUACUGCAGCGCUCUUCAGAACAGCCAUUGUGGAAUCAGCUCAUCAGCGGGUGAACGGAUGAAGAAAAUGUAGCACCUAUACAGAAUGUUGUUUAUCCAUUAAGGAGAAUGCAAGAGUGUCGCUUCCAGGAAAAUGGAUGGCACUAGGAGCGAUCACGUUGAAUGUAAUAAGCCAGAGUUGUAAGACAGGGACGGCCUACCAGGAGCCUGCUUUCAAAUCCAAGGAUGCUCCAAGGAUGAUGCUACUAACGGGAUGACGAUGAUGAUGAUGAUGUAAACAUGGCAAGAUGAGAAGUUAGAGAAUCUGUGUGGAAGAAUUCAAGGAACGCUUCCACACUGUCGGUGACUUCGUACAACAAGUACAGCUGCCGUGGAAACCAGUGUGGUCGUGCCGCUGAGCGCUGCAAAGUGACCUAACCUGCCAUUCCGUUAUAUUGCUCCUAAGUACAUAUCCUUUUAUAUUAGUGUGCACUUAGUUGUACUAAAUAGACCUUUUCUUCCAUGUAUUUCAGACUAUUGAUCAUCCCCCCUUCUUUCUUCCCUAACAACCGCUUCUAUACUUUCAUGACUUUAAAAUGAUUCUAUGAACAAUACUUGCUUCCGAGCCCAGCUUACCUCACUUGACUUGAUUUUCAAUUGUGAUGGCUGUUCCUGGUUGUCGACUUGACCACACCUGGAAUGAACUGCAAUCCCGAAAUGGAGGACACACCUGUGAUCCAGAUCUCGGGGCUUCUGACCCGGAUCGUCACAUAGGAUGACACACACUUUUGAUCCAAAUCUUGAGGCAUACUGGCCAUGAAAAGCUUUGGCUCAGGCAAGGUAU